rnacentral:rRNA from 1 species
GACGAACGCUGGCGGCGUGCUUAACACAUGCAAGUCGAGCGGUAAGGCCCUUUCGGGGGUACACGAGCGGCGAACGGGUGAGUAACACGUGGGUGACCUGCCUUUAGCUCUGGGAUAAGCCUGGGAAACCGGGUCUAAUACCGGAUAUGACUCCGCGGCGCAUGUUGUGGGGUGGAAAGCCUUGUGCGGCUGGAGAUGGGCCCGCGGCCUAUCAGCUUGUUGGUGGGGUGAUGGCCUACCAAGGCGACGACGGGUAGCCGGCCUGAGAGGGCGACCGGCCACACUGGGACUGAGAUACGGCCCAGACUCCUACGGGAGGCAGCAGUGGGGAAUCUUGCGCAAUGGGCGAAAGCCUGACGCAGCGACGCCGCGUGAGGGAUGACGGCCUGU